CCUACGGGAGGCAGCAGUAGGGAAUAUUGCUCAAUGGGGGAAACCCUGAAGCAGCAACGCCGCGUGGAGGAUGAAGGUUUUCGGAUUGUAAACUCCUUUUGUUAGAGAAGAUAAUGACGGUAUCUAACGAAUAAGCACCGGCUAACUCCGUGCCAGCAGCCGCGGUAAUACGGAGGGUGCAAGCGUUACUCGGAAUCACUGGGCGUAAAGAGGGCGUAGGCGGGAUAGCAAGUCAGAUGUGAAAUCCUAUGGCUUAACCAUAGAACUGCAGUUGAAACUGUUAUUCUAGAGUAUGGGAGAGGUAGGUGGAAUUCUUGGUGUAGGGGUAAAAUCCGUAGAGAUCAAGAGGAAUACUCAUUGCGAAGGCGACCUGCUAGAACAUAACUGACGCUGAUGCGCGAAAGCGUGGGGAGCAAACAGGAUUAGAUACCCGAGUAGUC
rnacentral:rRNA from 1 species